GGAAGUAGAAGUCGUAACAAGGUUUCCGUAGGUGAACCUGCGGAAGGAUCAUUAAAGAGAAUAUGCCCUUCGGGGUAGAUCUCCCACCCUUUGUUUAUAUUACCUUUGUUGCUUUGGCAGGCCCGUCUUCGGACCACCGGCUUCGGCUGGUCAGUGCUUGCCAGAGGACCCAAAACUCUUAUUAUUAAUGUCGUCUGAGUACUAUAUAAUAGUUAAAACUUUCAACAACGGAUCUCUUGGUUCUG
rnacentral:misc_RNA from 1 species